CUGUAAGAGGCUUUACAAGCGCUGUAGUUUUGUGUAAUUGAUUUGAUGAGAGGAGAUUUACAGAGGGGUCAUUUACAAUAUGAUAUAACCAUGACAGUUUUGCUGGCCUGGGGCAUCCUGGGAGUUCUGGUGCCCUAGCAGUGUCCAGGGGCCCAUCUGUGCAUUAUGCGCAUGAAAGCUCCGCCCCCGUCACGCAUUCCCGGCCCUUCUGUCGAAGCAGCUCGCUGUCACGGCAUGGCGGAAGCUUCCGGGCCUCUGCAUCCAUGGGGGGUGGAACAGAGUUUUGGGGAGGAUGAUCAAACCUUACAUGCUGUUGCCAUGCUGGCACAGUUUUGGGCCUAGAACUGCCUGAGAAAAUGUACUGAUGUCAAUGCCACAGUCACGCCUCUUUUUUAAAAUGUCUUUAUUAGCUGUCUAUUAAAAUGUGACUUAUUUCA